rnacentral:misc_RNA from 1 species
UCCCCGUUCUCCUGGGCAGUCUCUCCAGAGUUCCCGGCAUGACCCGUUGGUAACUGAAGACAAGGGUUGCGCUCGUUGCGGGACUUAACCCAACAUCUCACGACACGAGCUGACGACAGCCAUGCAGCACCUGUGCGCCGGUUCUCUUUCGAGCACUCCCUGAUCUCUCAGGGAUUCCGACCAUGUCAAGAGUAGGUAAGGUUUUUCGCGUUGCAUCGAAUUAAUCCACAUCAUCCACCGCUUGUGCGGGUCCCCGUCAAUUCCUUUGAGUUUUAAUCUUGCGACCGUACUCCCCAGGCGGUCUACUUCACGCGUUAGCUGCGUUACCAAGUCAAUUAAGACCCGACAACUAGUAGACAUCGUUUAGGGCGUGGACUAC